GGGUCACUUAUUUGGCAUGUGGCCUUGAGCAAGUUACAUAACCUUUCUGCGUGGCAGCUUCUCAUGUGAACAAUAGACAUGACAAUUGUCUCAGAGUUGUUGCAAGGAUUCGGUGACAAAAUGCAUUGUAAAGCAUUUAGAAUAGUGCCUGGCACAUUGUUCAUGCUGCGUAUUAUCUAUUGUUAUCUAUUGUUAUUCCCGGCGACCAACUCAGUUUCUGGCCAUAGUGGGGCUCAAGAAAUACCAGAAUAAAUAAAAGAACAAAAGGGCAACUGUGACACCACGGGAGCACAUGCUCAGCUCUUCCUGAAGAGGACUGUACUGCAGGGAGCUCGCAGACCUUUGGGAUCACAGGGUCACACUCCCAGUCAGUGACCAAGCAUGGUGGGGUCCUAGAGCCAAGUGGUUUCUUCCCGCUGCUGGGUCCUCCAACAGAUGAUCUUGGUACUGGGGUUUCACGUUAGCCCGGCUCUGACUUCUCAGAGCAGCACUGUGGCCUGAGACUCUUGCUAUCCAUCCUCUUUCCUUCCCUCCAUUCUUAAACAGCUAUCAAACACCUCUCGAGGUUGAGGGUUCUCCCUACCUACUCCUGUUCCCUCCCACUUAUUCUUCACGGGUCUUUGCCCCCUAAAUCUCCUGCCUUUCUAAUUGUGUCAUGGCCUCUUCUUCUGGGCAGGCCAAGCUGACCUAUUAGUAAGGCUCCGAGAGAACAUGCUAGUGCCCACCAGGACCCAAAUAUUUUCAGUUUCUUGCUUGGACACAUGUGGUGCUGCCAGAGGAGAAUCUGAACAGAGAGACACAGGAAUAGCUUAGGAAGAAGGGACAUGCCAUGGAAGCCCCACUUCAGUGACAGCGUUUGGCCCAAACUGUGCCAGGACUUUAUUGAGUACCCACCAGGCCACGUUUGCUUACACGGAAAUCCUUGCCCUCCUCCUCGUAGGCCCCGGGAAGGCUGCCUGAGACCCCACUGAGAGAGGCCUCAGUGGAAAACCCUCAGCUGGGGCAUUUCCCCCCAUGCCUCACAGCUGACCUGGCCGCUUCAAGACCCUUUCCCUAGUUUUGUGUUCUCCAUGACCCAAGGCCAUGACUGACUUUGGUUGUGACUGAACAGAGCCCUGGGAAAUUCUGCCUUUGGGAUUUUUCCUUGGCCAGGAGCCAGAGAGAGGUCCAAUUUGUCUUCUGCUAACAAAAAUAUAUUCUAUUUCCUUUCAGUCCUGUGUUUAAUUCAAAAGAGGAACUAGAAUUGCUGGAUAAACACAUGCUAUUUUUAUUCCCACCUCCCACGUGCACACCCUCCUCCUUUUCCUAAUGUAGCCUUCAAAUCCCAGACUUGCACAUCUGCCCAGAUGUUGCAAUGGAAGAAAUGGAUGUGCUUUCCCUCAGUCAGAUGAACUUUUGCUUCUGUAGCCCACUCCUCCUUCCUUCAGCCUUCCUGCCUCCCUGCCCAGGAUGAGGAACGUGUGAAAAAAGAUGCUUUGAUUUCUGUCCAAAGAAACCAAGGACAGUUUGGAGACAACACAUGGAAGCCUCAAGCAUGGCUUUGCUUUUGCCAUGAACAUAACUAUCCCUGGAUUCCAGGGCAGCCCCUUGCCCUUUAGAAUUGCCUACUGUCUCAGUAGCCCACCAUCUCAGUAGCCCAUCCUCCUUGUUUCAUGGACCCAGAUGGCUUGUAAAUGACUCAUACAUAGCAGAUACAGGAAAUAGUUUUGAGAUGUUGAAUGGAGCGUGCAUCAUGCUGGUAAGUAAACAUACAAACAUGGAAAGUCAGUAAAAUGGUUGACAUUCAAGGCAGACCAAACAAAAAAAAAAAAAA
rnacentral:lncRNA from 1 species